rnacentral:rRNA from 1 species
GACGAACGCUGGCGGCGUGCCUAAUACAUGCAAGUAGAACGCUGAAGCGAGGAGCUUGCUCUUCUUGGAUGAGUUGCGAACGGGUGAGUAACGCGUAGGUAACCUGCCUUGUAGCGGGGGAUAACUAUUGGAAACGAUAGCUAAUACCGCAUAACAAUGGAUGACACAUGUCAUUUAUUUGAAAGGGGCAAUUGCUCCACUACAAGAUGGACCUGCGUUGUAUUAGCUAGUAGGUGAGGUAAUGGCUCACCUAGGCGACGAUACAUAGCCGACCUGAGAGGGUGAUCGGCCACACUGGGACUGAGACACGGCCCACACUCCUACGGGAGGCAGCAGUAGGGAAUCUUCGGCAAUGGGGGCAACCCUGACCGAGCAACGCCGCGUGAGUGAAGAAGGUUUUCGGAUCGUAAAGCUCUGUUGUAAGUCAAGAACGGGUGUGAGAGUGGAAAGUUCACACUGUGACGGUAGCUUACCAGAAAGGGACGGCUAACUACGUG